CUAUUAAAAAUUUGGAUAAACUUUAAAUACCACCUCUGUGAUUUCGUAUUUUUUUACUUUAGUAUCAUAUAGUUUAAAGUGUAUCAAUUUAAUAUUCUGUAAUUUUAUUUUUCUCUUUUCGUCAGCGCCUUCAUUAACUUUUCAUUAAAUCAUAUGCAAAAAACUUCAGAUACCCCUCUAAUAGUUUAUUGAAUAUUUACUUUAAUACCCUUUAGUUUUAACUUUAUCACUGAUUUAACGAAAAUAAUUAAUAAAAAGGAUAACAAAAAGAGAAAAAUAAAACUAUAUGAUACAAAAGUAAUACACUUUAAAUCACAGGCUAUUAAAAUGAGAAAGUACGAAAUCACAGAAGUAAUAUUUAAAAUUUUUUCUAAAAAUUUAAAAGAAUUGUCGAAAUUCUUGGAUGGAUAGCAAAAAAAAGUUUACAUUUUUUUUUUUUUGAAAUGUACU
rnacentral:lncRNA from 1 species